UCAAGUUAUUAAGGGUGCAGGGCGGAUGCCUUGGCACUAGGAGCCGAUGAAGGACGUGAUAAGCUGCGAUAAGCUUCGGGGAGUUGCACGUAAACUUUGAUCCGAAGAUUUCCGAAUGAGGAAACUCACUUAGAGUAAUGUCUAAGUAUCAUUAAGUGAAUACAUAGCUUAAUGAGGGGAACUCAGGGAACUGAAACAUCUAAGUACCUGAAGGAAGAGAAAGAAAUUCGAUUCCGUAAGUAGCGGCGAGCGAACGCGGAUUAGCCCAAACCAAUAAAGUUUUCUUUAUUGGGGUUGCGGACAUAUCAUAACGAAGAGGUAUCGUAAUUGAAGAGGUUUGGAAAGACCCACCACAGAAGGUAAUAGUCCUGUAUGUUAAACGAGAAGACUUUAGAUAUGAUCCAGAGUACCACGGGACACGUGAAACCCUGUGGGAAGCAGGAGGGACCACCCUCCAAGGCUAAAUACUACCUAGUGACCGAUAGCGUAUAGUACCGUGAGGGAAAGGUGAAAAGAACCCCGGGAGGGGAGUGAAAUAGAACCUGAAACCCUGCACUUACAAGCUGUGGAAGCACAUUUCUUGUGUGACCGCGUACUUUUUGUAGAACGGGCCAACGAGUUACGUUAAGUAGCAAGGUUAAGCACUUAAGGUGCGGAGCCGUAGCGAAAGCGAGUUUUAACUGAGCGUUCAGUUACUUGACGUAGACCCGAAACCGGGCGACCUACCCAUGAGCAGGAUGAAGCGAAAGUAAAAUUUCGUGGAGGUCCGAACCCACGAGCGUUGAAAAGCUCGGGGAUGACUUGUGGGUAGCGGUGAAAUUCCAAUCGAGCCCGGAGAUAGCUGGUUCUCCCCGAAAUAGCUUUAGGGCUAGCCUCAAGGUGAGAGAUACGGAGGUAGAGCACUGAAUGUCCUAGGGGGUAUUGCACCUACCGAAGACUAUCAAACUCCGAAUGCCGUCAUCUUAUACUUGGGAGUCAGACUGUGGGUGAUAAGAUUCAUAGUCGAAAGGGCAACAGCCCAGAUCGUCAGCUAAGGUCCCUAAAUGUAAGUUAAGUGGUAAAGGAUGUGGGAUUGCACAGACAACCAGGAUGUUGGCUUAGAAGCAGCCACUCAUUCAAAGAGUGCGUAAUAGCUCACUGGUCGAGUGAUCCUGCGCCGAAGAUUUCCGGGGCUAAAACUUACUACCGAAGCUACGGCAUCAGUAAUGAUGGGUAGGGGAGCUUCCCAUACGGGUUGAAGCAUGACCGUAAGGACAUGUGGACAGUAUGGGAGUGAGAAUGUUGGCAUGAGUAGCGAGAUGUGGGUGAGAAUCCCACAGGCCGUAAACCCAAGGUUUCCAGGGGAAGGUUCGUCCGCCCUGGGUUAGUCGGGACCUAAGCUGAGGCCGAAAGGCGUAGGUGAUGGACAACAGGUUGAUAUUCCUGUACUACCGAUAACCGUUUGAGAGAAGGGAUGACACAGUAGGAUAAGCUAAGCACACUGUUGGUUAUGUGUGCCCAAGCAUUGAGGCAGUCAAAGUAGGCAAAUCCGCUUUGAUAAUGCUGGGGUGUGAUGGGGAGCGAAAUUUAGUAGCGAAGUAGCUGAUUUCACACUGUCAAGAAAAGUCUCUAUCGAGGUUAAAGGUACCCGUACCGCAAACCGACACAGGUGGGUGAGGAGAGUAUCCUAAGGCCAGCGAGAGAACUGUUGUUAAGGAACUCGGCAAAAUGACCCCGUAACUUAGGGAUAAGGGGUGCCACCAUCAGGUGGCCGCAGAGAAUAGGCCCAAGCGACUGUUUACCAAAAACAUAGGUUUCUGCUAAGUCGCAAGACGAUGUAUAGGAGCUGACGCCUGCCCGGUGCUGGAAGGUUAAGGGGAUCUGUUAGAGCAAUCGAAGCAGUGAACUUAAGCCCAGUAAACGGCGGCCGUAACUAUAACGGUCCUAAGGUAGCGAAAUUCCUUGUCGGGUAAGUUCCGACCCGCACGAAAGGCGUAACGAUUUGGGCACUGUCUCAACAACAGACUCGGUGAAAUUGUAAUUCCGGUGAAGAUGCCGGAUACCUGCGACAGGACGGAAAGACCCCAUGGAGCUUUACUGUAGCUUGACAUUGGGUCUUGGUACUACAUGUACAGGAUAGGUGGGAGGCUUUUGAAACCAGGACGCCAGUUUUGGCGGAGCCAUCCUUGGGAUACCACCCUUGUAGUACUGGGACUCUAACCAUAGGCCAUGAAUCUGGUCUUGGGACACUGUCAGGUGGGCAGUUUUGACUGGG
rnacentral:rRNA from 1 species